rnacentral:misc_RNA from 1 species
UGGUGUGGAAACGCACCAUGGCCUCCGCUGGAACUUACAUCGCGGCGUGGUUUCGCCACCAUCUCUCCUCUGUUGUCACCUUCCAGAAGCAGUUCGUCGAUGACGUGUCGGAGACGGUGAAGGAGCAGAAGGCGCAGUUUGACCGGCACACCCGCGAGGCAAAAGAGCGGGCCGUGCAGCUUCACCUGGAUAAGCUGGAGGAGAAGUACCUCUGCUGCGUAUGCGGAAGAGGCGGUGAAAUACGUGAGGACGAUGAGUUUGUAUACGACACUUACUCUAUGAUCGAUUUACCGCCGCGGGCGGCGCUGGAGGCCGCAGUGCGGGAGGAACUUGCGGACGCCCAGCUAUCGGACGGACACAUUAAGCAGCACCAACACAUGCUCGCUUUUCGGCAGCGUCACCUCCAACACCCCUCCACGACGCCGGCAGCCACGUACGAGAGUGACGGCAGCCUUUAUUGCUCCUCUGAUGUUUCCGUCGCACCAUCAGACUGGCGUUCCGAGAGAACGAGGAAAAAGCACCGGCGGAGGAGAGAUUCAUCCUCUCAGCACAAGCGCGCCAAGUCGUCCUCUCAACGCCACGUGAUGCCUCGAUCGCGGUGCCAGCGUGAAGAGUUAGAAGCCCAGCACCACGAUCACGAUAACCGAGACAAGCGCGCUGCCGUCGACGCCUCUGAACCGAGUAUCCGAAUAUCGCUCUCUUUGGACGAGCCGCCCCCUUCACGCUCCACGGCAGCGCGCGGUGACGCGCUGGAGCUUCACACCGCGGACCUUGCGGUGAUGGACCCUGACAUGGUCGGUCCGCUCGAGGUGCGGCACACGCUUUACAAGAUUCGGCACGCGGUGCUGCACAAGGAAGCCCGUGUGCGCCGCAAGGCUGUAGUUGUGCACAAGGACAAGGGGCUGAUGAUGAUAGAGGAGUCGGAGAUCGAGAUGUUUUCGCACUUCUUUCAGCGCCCGGUUCACGGGUAUCUCUGCACGGCGUGCUACACGAGCGCCCAGCGUCGCCUCGAUACACUCACGCAGCAGAUUCGUGCCAUCCUUUUCAAGGCGGAACAUCCGGUGCUACGCCGGUUGCCGGCCAAAGAGCUGGAAGUUUUGAUAGCUGGCAAUCAGGUCCCCGUCACCCUCAUUCAGAGUGUAUUGGCGGUUCAGCGCCGGUGGGCUAAGCUUACGGAGGAGCAGCGGAUGGAGGUCAGUCGCGCAGAGGCUGGAGCGGGACCGCCGCAGGGUUCUACCGCUGCUUUCGACGCAGAGGAACGCACGAGCUGGACGCCACAGGGGAGAGACCCGACGGCCCGGAUGGCGACUUUACCCGAGAGGAGCAUCUUGACCCUCCGCGAGGAGGCGCGGUGUGGCGCCUGCCAGCGCCGCGCUGCGUGCUUUUUCGAACCGAAGUCAGUCGUCUUUCUCUGCCAAUUUUGCACUGCCCGAGACCGUUUUUACCGCGAGCAUGCGGUGUGCAUCAACGACGAAGAAAUGCCUUUGAUGCUGACGCAUCUCCUGCAGAAUUUGGCACUCUACUACCAAGGUGUUCAUCAGCAAGCGGAGCUCCGCCAGGCACCACUGUCAGCCAUCCCAGAAGCACAGACUGACCUAUUCCCACUCACAGAUAUUAUGCGUGAAAAAGAGGGCCUGUUUGCCUGUCAGGCCCCGGCUGCCGCCAAGUCCGAUCUUCAGGGCUGCCGAGAGGUUGCCGAGGUGGUGUCAGAGCUCGGCGCUGAAACCCACAUGCACGGCACCUACGUGCCCGUUGCAAGACCGUGCACUUCGGCGGCCUCAACACGCCGAGUAUGUGGAUCAACGGUGCCACUCCGGGAACAGCGCGAGCGGGUUGGAAGGACGAUGAUCAGCCUCUUCGAUGGAGUCAAGGUGGAGGGGUCGGGAGUCAACCUCUUCAAGAACGCCGCUUCGUCGUCUUUUGCAGCCGGUGUCUCGGACUUGUUCCAGCCCGCUCCGGCACCGCGGCUGUCGCCCUCCCAAACCAACGGGAGCGCCGCUGGGCACGCAGGCGAGCGCGCUGCGGCAAAUCUGUUGGCCAACGGCGGAACCGCAGCUUUGACAUCACCUCCUGCCACUGUACGGGGGCAUGAGGGACGCCUGCAAAGCUCAGCUGUGGGAUCGUCGUCCGCGACGCCUACCGCGCACUUCCCAGCAUCCCCAAAUUCACAGCGGGAUAGCUUGUUCUGAAGGCAAAAAAAAAAACGUCUUUGAGCUGGUGCGCUUUCGUGAUAGCGGCGAGUGUGUGUCUGCCUGACGCUCACGAAAGAUGCUUGCCCUUGUUCAUGGUGGCUGCGUUCUACGUGCUUUAUGGAUGCGUGCUCACACUUGAGACAGUUCACGAAGCCCCUCUCUCCACCCCCCCUUCACGCCUCCAUGCCGUUCCUCUCUGUGCGUCCCUCCUUCGCCGUUUCAAGUGUGUCGUGCGGGUCAGUUGUCUUUCAUUCGCUUGAGGUGUGCACCGACGAGAGAGAUAGGGGGUCAGCAAAGGAGAACGACUGUGAGCUUGCAUAGCCGUCUCCUUCGUGGUGUGUGGGAGGUGCUUGUUCUCCUUCUUUCCUCGUCUUGUUGCUCACGUCGGUGAUUUUGGCGCUAUGUGACGCUUGCUCGUGCGCACACGCCGAUGUGCAAAGGUGCAGUGUAUGCGUGCUGCAGGAUUUGGCAUGCGCAGGCGCACUACUUGCGGCCCACCACCACUCCUUUUGCUCUUUUACUAUCCCGACAAGCACACACUCGUGCGCAACCUCCUUUCUCUUUUCCCCUUUCUUUUUUCCCCUGUCUAG